UGGGGAAUAUUGGACAAUGGGCGCAAGCCUGAUCCAGCCAUGCCGCGUGAGUGAUGAAGGCCCUAGGGUUGUAAAGCUCUUUCACCGGUGAAGAUAAUGACGGUAACCGGAGAAGAAGCCCCGGCUAACUUCGUGCCAGCAGCCGCGGUAAUACGAAGGGGGCUAGCGUUGUUCGGAUUUACUGGGCGUAAAGCGCACGUAGGCGGACUAUUAAGUCAGGGGUGAAAUCCCGGGGCUCAACCCCGGGAACUGCCUUUGAUACUGGUAGUCUUGAGUUCGAGAGAGGUGAGUGGAAUUCCGAGUGUAGAGGUGAAAUUCGUAGAUAUUCGGAGGAACACCAGUGGCGAAGGCGGCUCACUGGCUCGAUACUGACGCUGAGGUGCGAAAGCGUGGGGAGCAAACAGGAUUAGAUACCCCUGUAGUCCCUGAGCGGGCUGGCAAGGCGCAU
rnacentral:rRNA from 1 species